AACCGCAUGGUUCAGACAUAAAAGGUGGCUUCGGCUACCACUUACAGAUGGACCCGCGGCGCAUUAGCUAGUUGGUGAGGUAACGGCUCACCAAGGCGACGAUGCGUAGCCGACCUGAGAGGGUGAUCGGCCACACUGGGACUGAGACACGGCCCAGACUCCUACGGGAGGCAGCAGUAGGGAAUCUUCCGCAAUGGACGAAAGUCUGACGGAGCAACGCCGCGUGAGUGAUGAAGGUUUUCGGAUCGUAAAGCUCUGUUGUUAGGGAAGAACAAGUGCCGUUCAAAUAGGGCGGCACCUUGACGGUACCUAACCAGAAAGCCACGGCUAACUACGUGCCAGCAGCCGCGGUAAUACGUAGGUGGCAAGCGUUGUCCGGAAUUAUUGGGCGUAAAGGGCUCGCAGGCGGUUUCUUAAGUCUGAUGUGAAAGCCCCCGGCUCAACCGGGGAGGGUCAUUGGAAACUGGGGAACUUGAGUGCAGAAGAGGAGAGUGGAAUUCCACGUGUAGCGGUGAAAUGCGUAGAGAUGUGGAGGAACACCAGUGGCGAAGGCGACUCUCUGGUCUGUAACUGACGCUGAGGAGCGAAAGCGUGGGGAGCGAACAGGAUUAGAUACCCUGGUAGUCCACGCCGUAAACGAUGAGUGCUAAGUGUUAGGGGGUUUCCGCCCCUUAGUGCUGCAGCUAACGCAUUAAGCACUCCGCCUGGGGAGUACGGUCGCAAGACUGAAACUCAGAGGAAUUGUUU
rnacentral:rRNA from 1 species